CGGAGGGAUCAUUAAAGAGUUUUAUAACUCCCAAACCCAUGUGAACAUACCUAACGUUGCCUCGGCAGGUCGCACCUACCUUGUAGCACCCUACCCUGUAGGGCCUACCCGGGAGGUGCGGGUAAGCCUGCCGGCGGCCCACCAAACUCUGUUUGAUAUUGAAUUCUGAACCUAUAACUAAAUAAGUUAAAACUUUCAACAACGGAUCUCUUGGUUCUGGCAUCGAUGAAGAACGCAGCGAAAUGCGAUAAGUAAUGUGAAUUGCAGAAUUCAGUGAAUCAUCGAAUCUUUGAACGCAUAUUGCGCCCAUUAGUAUUCUAGUGGGCAGGACCGUUCGAGCGUCAUUUCAACCCUUAAGCCUUCGUUGCUUAGUGUUGGGAGCCUACGGCAACGUAGCUCCUCAAAGUUAGUGGCGGAGUUGGUUCACACUCUAGACGUAGUAAUUUUUUAUCUCGCCUAUUAGUUGGACUAAUCCCCUGCCGUAAAACCCCUAAUUUAUCAAGGUUGACCUCGAAUCGGUUCAGACAAACUCGCUAAAUUGAAGCAUCUUAGUCAGCGAAGGAAAAGAAACCAACAGGGAUUGCCCUAGUAACGGCGAGUGAAGCGGCAACAGCUCAAAUUUGAAAUCUGGCCCUCGGGUCCGAGUUGUAAUUUGUAGAGGAUGCUUUUGGCGCGGUGCCUU
rnacentral:rRNA from 1 species